rnacentral:tRNA from 1 species
GAGCCUCUGCCUUUCGGUUCUCUUGGAACAAGACGGAAGAGAGUCACUCUUACCGUCGCGCAUACCUUAAGCGGGUCUGCCGCCUUCGUUUCUCUUUCUUCAGCGAAUGACUUUGACUUGCGCUCGCGCGCCGUACCGCGGCCCUUUGGGCCGCUGGCGCUCCGCGAGGGCGCGGCACGAGCCGCGACGGCCGGUUGGCCUUGCGAGACGUGCGUCUCGUUGGCGAAAGCCGAUCUACGGCGCAGUCUAAGGGCUUGUAGCUCAGUUGGUUAGAGCGCGCGCUUGAUAAGCGUGAGGUCGGAGGUUCAAGUCCUCCCAGGCCCACCACUUCCUUUCGACACGAAGGUUAUCAGGGGCCGUAGCUCAGCUGGGAGAGCGCCUGCUUUGCAAGCAGGAUGUCGUCGGUUCGAUCCCGUCCGGCUCCACCACUUCCGCGCGAUCCGAAGGAUCGUCGCGUCACGCGAUCCGCAGGAUCGUCGCCUUGAAAGUGUGUCGAGUGGAGGUGGUGAAAAAGUCAUUCGUAAAAAGAGUUUGCGGGAAGCGUCGAGCUUUCCCGCCUGUUCUGUUUUGACAUCGUAAAGAGAAGAUUUGUUCGAACUUCAUGAGCCGCAAGGUUCGUGAUUUGUCGCGGGAGACGCUCAAUCUCCCGCAUAUGAUGGGUUUGCCUAACCGUGCCCUCGAACCGAUCUCGAGAAGCUGGUCUUUUUGUGCCAAUGACACUUAGCGCCAAAUCCUGCACAGGAUUGCGCUUAUGCGACGAUCUCUUCGAGAUCGCGCUGACGCUCACGCUCAUCCCGCAAGGGAGAGGCUGAAGCGACGAUUUCUUCGAAAUCGCGCGGUGGGCAUUGGCAAUGAGAACGAUCAAGUGUCUUAAGGGCAAUUGGUGGAUGCCUUGGCAUGCACAGGCGAUGAAGGACGUGAUACGCUGCGAUAAGCUA